rnacentral:misc_RNA from 1 species
UCUGAAACAACUUGAUUCAAAGCCUAUAUAUAUAGUAUUUGACCACUGAUCAGGCUUCAAAAUUUUCCCUAUGAAUUAGAUUAUAAGCCUCAGAAUGAAAAAUUGAUAGUGCUUCAUAUUCUUCUUCUUUUCUUUAAAUUUUUGAGCCUAUUGGAAGUCCCAUUGGGCCAGAGAUGGACAACAGGGUUUGCCUGUCUUGUUUCCUAAUAUCAUCCCAUGCAACAACAAUUCUUCUUUUCUAGAAGGGUGCUACUUGCCUGAGUGUCUGAUCCUAGAACUUAAGAGUUAAGGCAAGGAAUCACCAGGCUGCUGGACGGUUUUUUGCUUUUGUCCCUAUCAAUAUUGCAUCUCUUCCAUCUGGUUUACAAGUUUAUUGUUGUUGAUUAGUUUAUCAAUCUUCCUUCAUGAUAAAAAUUUGUGGUGUCUACUCUUUAUGUUUUCUAUUUUGCAACUCAAAGUCCAAAAUUAAAUAAUCUUAAUUGACCAAUCCCAAUCUAUAAUCAAAAUUUGAAUUAUUUGAUCUUAUCAUCGCAUUUAACUGUGAUCAGAUGAACUUAAGCAUUUUCUUUUGAUACAUUUUAUAGAGCAAAAUUACGUCGGGCAAAU